rnacentral:rRNA from 1 species
UACGUAGGGGGCUAGCGUUGUCCGGAUUUAUUGGGCGUAAAGAGCGUGUAGGCGGCCAGGUAGGUCUGCUGUGAAAACUCCAGGCUCAACUUGGAGACGCCACCCGAUACUGCUCUGACUUGAGUUCGGUAGGGGAGUGGGGAAUUCCUGGUGUAGCGGUGAAAUGCGCAGAUAUCGGGAGGAACACCUAUGGCGAAGGCAGCUCGCUGGGACGUUACUGACGCUGAGACGCGAAAGCGUGGGGAGCAAACAGG